rnacentral:lncRNA from 1 species
GAGCCAAGGAGGCUUUCAGAAAGUGUUCAGUUGGGCUGGGCGCAGUGGCUCACGCCUGUAAUCCCAGCACUUUGGGAAACAAGGUGGGUGGAUUGCUUGAGGCCAGGAAUUCAAGACCAGCCUGCCCAACAUGCAAAAUGCUGUCUCUACUAAAAAUACAAAAAUUAAGUUGGGCAUGGUAGUGUGCACCUGUCAUGCCAGUUACUCAGGAGGCUGAGGCAGGAGAAUUGCAUGAAUGCGGGAGGUGGAGGUUCCAGUGAGCCGAGAUUGUGCCAUUGCACUCCAGUCCGGGUGUCAGUGUGAGACUCUGUCUCAAAAAAAAAAAAAAGUGUUCAGUUGAAGGAGCUUAGGUUACAUAAGCCUGAUGGGCUCUGUGAAUGUCAGGAUUCUUCAUCUUACCAGUAUUCCUGGCUCUUUUUACUUUUUUAAACUACUAAUUCUUUAGCUGUAAUACUGAUGGUGAGUUAUCACGUUAGUGAUUUCAUUUCUUCUGAUGAAAAGUUGAACAAUGCUGUAUUUAGAGUAGAUCUUUAAAUUGACUUGACUCCAAAUGACUUGUGAAGAAAGGUCAUGUUCUUAGCCAAAUGUCUGUCAGCCUAUUCAUUUGAAGUGCUGUAUCUAGGUCUUGUUCAUUUGUAUAAUGUUAAGACAGUUGCCCGAGUAGGAAUGACUCUGGGCUUCUUCACUAUAUGCAGAUAGUCUUUGGCAACUUAGGUACCUAAGGCUUUUUAAAGUUUGUUUUACAAAUACAAUAAAGGGUCAUAUUUUUACAUUUUUUAGAGAUGACCUCGACAGGAAACUGCAGGCUAUUGCUGUUUCAAAACUACUGAAAAGUAGCUCUAAUCAAGUGAUAUUUCUGGGAUAUAUCACUUCAGCACCUGGCUCCAGAGAUUAUCUACAGCUCACUGAACAUGGCAAUGUGAAGGAUAUCGACAGCACUGAUCAUGACAGAUGGUGUGAAUACAUUAUGUAUCGAGGGCUGAUCAGGUUGGGUUAUGCAAGAAUCUCCCAUGCUGAACUGAGUGAUUCAGAAAUUCAGAUGGCAAAAUUUAGGAUCCCUGAUGACCCCACUAAUUAUAGAGACAACCAGAAAGUGGUCAUAGACCACAGAGAAGUUUCUGAGAAAAUUCAUUUUAAUCCCAGGGAGACAUGAGACAUCAAUCAACAUACAUAAGAUGAACAUUGGUUCAGUCCGGGAAGGCAGGACAACUGGAAGCAAAGGCAGGACAUCUCGAAGCAGAAAGGAGGCUUUCAGUUCAUAUAUUUGGAUCCUACAAAGAAGGACACAAUUAUGAAAACAACCAUCAUUUUCAUAUGAAUACUCCCAAAUACUUUUUAUGAAACAUUUAAAACAAGAAGUUAUUGGCUGGGAAAAUCUAAGAAAAAAAGUAUGUAAGAUAAAAAGAAGAGAUUAAUGAAAGUGGGAAAAUACACAUGAAGAACCUCAACUUAAAAAACACAUGGUAUCUAUGCAGUGGGAAAUUACCUCCAUUUGUAAACUAUGUUGCUUAAUAAAAACAUUUCUCUAAA